AUUGAACGCUGGCGGCAGGCCUAACACAUGCAAGUCGAACGAGUGGCGGACGGGUGAGUAAUGUCUGGGAAACUGCCUGAUGGAGGGGGUUAACUACUGGAAACGGUAGCUAAUACCGCAUACCAUCAGAUGUGCCCCGAUGGGCUUAGCUAGUUGGUGGGGUAACGGUUCACCAAGGCGACGAUCCCUAGCUGGUCGGAGAGGAUGACCAGCCACACGGGAACUGAGACACGGUCCAGAGUCCGACGGGAGGAAGCAGUGGGGAAUAUUGCGCAAUGGGCGCAAGCCUGAUGCAGCCAUGCCGCGUGUAUGAAGAAGGCCUGAGGGUUGUAAAGUACUUUCAGUGGGGAGGCGUUACCCGCAGAAGAAGCACCGGCUAACUCCGUGCCAGCAGCCGCGGUAAUAC
rnacentral:rRNA from 1 species